GUGCGGCCGGGGGAUGGGGUCCCCCUUCAACCGCCGCAAAGGCUGAUGACUCCUGCUGAUGU
rnacentral:ncRNA from 2 species